rnacentral:rRNA from 1 species
CCUACGGGUGGCAGCAGUGAGGAAUAUUGGUCAAUGGGAGAGAUCCUGAACCAGCCAAGCCGCGUGAGGGAAGACGGCCCUAUGGGUUGUAAACCUCUUUUGUCGGAGAACAAAACCCGGGACGUGUCCCGGACGGCGUGUAUCCGAAGAAAAAGCAUCGGCUAACUCCGUGCCAGCAGCCGCGGUAAUACGGAGGAUGCGAGCGUUAUCCGGAUUUAUGGGGUUUAAAGGGUGCGUAGGCGGUCCGUUAAGUCAGCGGUAAAAUUGCGGGGCUCAACCCCGUCGAGCCGUUGAGACUGGCAAACUUGAGUGGGCGAGAAGUACGCGGAAUGCGCGGUGUAGCGGUGAAAUGCAUAGAUAUCGCGCAGAAUUCCGAUUGCGAAGGCAGCGUACCGGCGCCAGACUGACGCUGAGGCACGAAAGCGUGGGGAUCGAACAGGAUUAGAUACCCGAGUAGUC